rnacentral:rRNA from 1 species
AGCCAUGGGCAGGUUGAAGGUUGGGUAACACUAACUGGAGGACCGAACCGACUAAUGUUGAAAAAUUAGCGGAUGACCUGUGGCUGGGGGUGAAAGGCCAAUCAAACCGGGAGAUAGCUGGUUCUCCCCGAAAGCUAUUUAGGUAGCGCCUCGUGAAUUCAUCUCCGGGGGUAGAGCACUGUUUCGGCUAGGGGGCCAUCCCGGCUUACCAACCCGAUGCAAACUGCGAAUACCGGAGAAUGUUAUCACGGGAGACACACGGCGGGUGCUAACGUCCGUCGUGAAGAGGGAAACAACCCAGACCGCCAGCUAAGGUCCCAAAGUCAUGGUUAAGUGGGAAACGAUGUGGGAAGGCCCAGACAGCCAGGAUGUUGGCUUAGAAGCAGCCAUCAUUUAAAGAAAGCGUAAUAGCUCACUGGUCGAGUCGGCCUGCGCGGAAGAUGUAACGGGGCUAAACCAUGCACCGAAGCUGCGGCAGCGACACUGUGUGUUGUUGGGUAGGGGAGCGUUCUGUAAGCCUGUGAAGGUGUGUCGUGAGGCAUGCUGGAGGUAUCAGAAGUGCGAAUGCUGACAUAAGUAACGAUAAAGCGGGUGAAAAGCCCGCUCGCCGGAAGACCAAGGGUUCCUGUCCAACGUUAAUCGGGGCAGGGUGAGUCGACCCCUAAGGCGAGGCCGAAAGGCGUAGUCGAUGGGAAACGGGUUAAUAUUCCCGUACUUGGUGUUACUGCGAAGGGGGGACGGAGAAGGCUAUGUUGGCCGGGCGACGGUUGUCCCGGUUUAAGCGUGUAGGUGUGUGUUCCAGGUAAAUCCGGUUCACUUUAACACUGAGGCGUGACGACGAGGCACUACGGUGCUGAAGCAACAAAUGCCCUGCUUCCAGGAAAAGCCUCUAAGCAUCAGGUAACAUCAAAUCGUACCCCAAACCGACACAGGUGGUCAGGUAGAGAAUACCAAGGCGCUUGAGAGAACUCGGGUGAAGGAACUAGGCAAAAUGGUGCCGUAACUUCGGGAGAAGGCACGCUGACACGUAGGUGAAGUGAUUUACUCAUGGAGCUGAAGUCAGUCGAAGAUACCAGCUGGCUGCAACUGUUUAUUAAAAACACAGCACUGUGCAAACACGAAAGUGGACGUAUACGGUGUGACGCCUGCCCGGUGCCGGAAGGUUAAUUGAUGGGGUCAGCGCAAGCGAAGCUCCUGAUCGAAGCCCCGGUAAACGGCGGCCGUAACUAUAACGGUCCUAAGGUAGCGAAAUUCCUUGUCGGGUAAGUUCCGACCUGCACGAAUGGCGUAAUGAUGGCCAGGCUGUCUCCACCCGAGACUCAGUGAAAUUGAACUCGCUGUGAAGAUGCAGUGUACCCGCGGCAAGACGGAAAGACCCCGUGAACCUUUACUAUAGCUUGACACUGAACAUUGAGCCUUGAUGUGUAGGAUAGGUGGGAGGCUUUGAAGUGUGGACGCCAGUCUGCAUGGAGCCGACCUUGAAAUACCACCCUUUAAUGUUUGAUGUUCUAACGUGGACCCGUGAUCCGGGUUGCGGACAGUGUCUGGUGGGUAGUUUGACUGGGGCGGUCUCCUCCUAAAGAGUAACGGAGGAGCACGAAGGUUGGCUAAUCCUGGUCGGACAUCAGGAGGUUAGUGCAAUGGCAUAAGCCAGCUUGACUGCGAGCGUGACGGCGCGAGCAGGUGCGAAAGCAGGUCAUAGUGAUCCGGUGGUUCUGAAUGGAAGGGCCAUCGCUCAACGGAUAAAAGGUACUCCGGGGAUAACAGGCUGAUACCGCCCAAGAGUUCAUAUCGACGGCGGUGUUUGGCACCUCGAUGUCGGCUCAUCACAUCCUGGGGCUGAAGUAGGUCCCAAGGGUAUGGCUGUUCGCCAUUUAAAGUGGUACGCGAGCUGGGUUUAGAACGUCGUGAGACAGUUCGGUCCCUAUCUGCCGUGGGCGCUGGAGAACUGAGGGGGGCUGCUCCUAGUACGAGAGGACCGGAGUGGACGCAUCACUGGUGUUCGGGUUGUCAUGCCAAUGGCACUGCCCGGUAGCUAAAUGCGGAAGAGAUAAGUGCUGAAAGCAUCUAAGCACGAAACUUGCCCCGAG